UACGGGAGGCAGCAGUGGGGGAAUAUUGCACAAUGGGCGCAAGCCUGAUGCAGCCAUGCCGCGUGUAUGAAGAAGGCCUUCGGGUUGUAAAGUACUUUCAGUCGUGAGGAAGGUGUUAAGGUUAAUAACCUUAGCAAUUGACGUUAGCGACAGAAGAAGCACCGGCUAACUCCGUGCCAGCAGCCGCGGUAAUACGGAGGGUGCGAGCGUUAAUCGGAAUUACUGGGCGUAAAGGGCACGCAGGCGGUUAAUUAAGUUGGAUGUGAAAUCCCCGGGCUUAACCUGGGAAUGGCAUUCAAGACUGGUUAGCUAGAGUCUUGUAGAGGGGGUAGAAUUCCGAUGUGUAGCGGUGAAAUGCGUAGAGAUGUGGAGGAAUACCGGUGGCGAAGGCGGCCCCUGGACAAAGGACUGGACGCUCAUGUGCGAAAGC
rnacentral:rRNA from 1 species